rnacentral:rRNA from 1 species
CGCGACGGCUCAUUAAAUCAGCUAUGAUCUACUUGAUCUUGAGACUACUCCUACUUGGAUAACUGUGGUAAUUCUAGAGCUAAUACAUGCACAAAAGCCCUGACCUCGCAGGAGGGGCGCAUUUAUUAGAGCAAAACCAGGCGACCUUGGUCGUUGUUGCUGACUCAGAAUAACUCAGCUGAUCGCACGGUCUCGUACCGGCGACGUGUCUUUUGAGUAUCUGCCUUAUCAAUUUUCGAUGGUAGUGUAUUUGACUACCAUGGUUUUGACGGGUAACGGAGAAUCAGGGUUCGACUCCGGAGAAGGGGCCCGAGAAAUGGCCACUACGUCUAAGGAUGGCAGCAGGCGCGCAAAUUACCCACUCUCGGAAUGAGGAGGUAGUGACGAGAAAUAACGAGACCGUUCUCUAUGAGGCCGGUCAUCGGAAUGGGUACAAUCUAAACCCUUUAACGAGUAUCUAUGAGAGGGCAAGUCUGGUGCCAGCAGCCGCGGUAAUUCCAGCUCUCAAAGUGCAUAGAACCAUUGUUGCGGUUAAAAAGCUCGUAGUUGAAUCUAGGUCUGAGGCCUGGUCCACACACUGUGUGCGCACUAGGUUCUUUGGCUUUGACGUCGGUUUGCUUGUCGUCGCCUUUACCGGCGGCGGCCGGUGGCUGGCAAUUUUACUUUGAACAAAUCAAAGUGCUCAAAACAGGCGUUUCGCUUGUAUGCUUUUGCAUGGAAUAAUAGAAUAUGACUUCGGUCUGGUUUUAUUGGUUUUAUAGAUCGUUGUAAUGAUUAACAGGGUCAAGCGGGGGCAUUCGUAUUGUUGCGUGAGAGGUGAAAUUCUUGGACCGCAGCAAGACGACCAACAGCGAAAGCAUUUGCCAAGCUUGUCUUCAUUAAUCAAGAACGAAAGUCAGAGGAUCGA